rnacentral:rRNA from 1 species
CGUGGUCGAGAGGGAAACAGCCCGGAUCGCCGGCUAAGGCCCCUAAGCGUGUGCUAAGUGGGAAAGGAUGUGCGGUCGCGCAGACAACCAGGAGGUUGGCUUAGAAGCAGCCAUCCUUGAAAGAGUGCGUAAUAGCUCACUGGUCGAGUGGUCGUGCGCCGACAAUGUAGCGGGGCUCAAGCACACCGCCGAAGCCGCGGAUCCCCAGCGUUGAUCCUCCCAUGCCCAUGUUUUGUGUGGGUGUGGCAGGGGUUGGGGGUGGUAGGGGAGCGUCCUGCACUGGGUGAAGCCCGGGGGUGACCCGCGGGUGGACGGUGCGGGAGUGAGAAUGCAGGCAUGAGUAGCGAUGACUAGGGUGAGAAGCCCUAGCGCCGAGAGACCAAGGGUUCCAGGGCCAGGCUAGUCCGCCCUGGGUGAGUCGGGACCUAAGGCGAGGCCGACAGGCGUAGUCGAUGGAUGACGGGUUGAUAUUCCCGUACCGGCGAAGCACCGACCAUGCUGACGCGCGGGUGCUAACCCACGCCCCUGCCGCCACGAGAAGCCGCGGCCGUCUCCUUCGGGGGGUGGUCGUGGUUGUGGUGGCGUGUGGUCUGGGGGUCCUCCGUGCUGGUAGGCAAGCGUGUUAACAGGGGUGACGCACAGUGGUAGCCCGGCGGGCCUAAUGGCUUGGCCUGUUCAAGCGCGCAGCCCGGUCCCUAGGUAAAUCCGGGGGCCAGCCUCAUGCGUGGGGCGGGGGUGAGGCGUGAUGGUGACCGGUAGCCGUGUGCUGCUGGGAUAACAGGGUGAUCCUGGGGUGCCGAGAAAAGCCUCGACGCGAUGGUCUAAGCCGCCCGUACCCGAAACCGACACAGGUGGUCCGGCAGAGUAUGCCUAGGCGAACGAGUGAACCGUGGUGAAGGAACUCGGCAAAAUGCCCCCGUAACUUCGGGAGAAGGGGGGCCCGAACCCUGAAACGGCUGGCCCGUUAGGGGGGUGGGCCGCAGAGAGCAGGGGGGAGCGACUGUUUACUAAAAACACAGGUCCGUGCGAAGCCGCAAGGCGAUGUAUACGGACUGACGCCUGCCCGGUGCUGGAAGGUCAAGAGGAUCCCUCAGCCCCCCGUAGGGGGGUGAAGGGGUGAGUCCAAGCCCCAGUAAACGGCGGUGGUAACUAUAACCAUCCUAAGGUAGCGAAAUUCCUUGUCGGGUAAGUUCCGACCUGCACGAAUGGCGUAACGACUUCCCCGCUGUCUCCACCACGGGCUCGGCGAAAUUGCACUACGAGUAAAGAUGCUCGUUACGCGCAGAAGGACGGAAAGACCCCGGGACCUUUACUAUAGCUUGGUAUUGGCGUCCGCCAUGGUUUGUGCAGGAUAGGUGGGAGACUGUGAGACCGCCACGCUAGUGGUGGUGGAGUCAUUGUUGAGAUACCACUCUGGCUGUGGCGUGCGCCUGAACCUCGGCCCGUGAUCCGGGUCAGGGACAGUGCCUGGUGGGUAGUUUAACUGGGGCGGUUGCCUCCUAAAAGGUAACGGAGGCGCUCAAAGGU